ACUUCAGCAUAUGAACUGGGGAGGAACAAAAAUAGUAUAUAAUAUAUUUCUAGGAAAUCUUUCCCAAUGAGUCCAGAUUCAUCUAGUAAUAACACAAACUAUGCAAUGAUAAAGUACUGAUCUGAAGUGAAGAAAAAAGAUCCUCUUUUCAGAGUUCAAGCUCAAUCAAUACUAAAGAGCCUAGCAAAUGACCCCCACCCCUUGGAGAACAGUGACAUGAUACUUGAAGCUGCUAGGAGAUGAGCAGCUUUCCUCUACCAGCCCCAUCCACCAUGCAUUUCUUCCUUGGAGCCACUGAUUUCAGACUGAAGCUGCUGGAAACUGCUAAAUAAAUGAGGAAGCCAUCUUGUUUUCCACAUCACUGGCUCCAGCAUGCUAUAGAAGAUCACCAUGACAACAGGAGCUGGUUUGCCUGGUGUGAAGACAACAGUGUAGGCCCCAUUUCCUAAAUGCAUGUUUCUACAAAAGUUGAAUCACCAAUUAAAAGACUCUUUUCUAUCCUGGGGGCUUCAGAAAUGCAAAUGGUGUUGGGGAGACAGGCUGGUCAGCUGCUACACCUAGUAACUCCUUCUGAC
ensembl:lncRNA